GUCAAGGUGCCAGAGUGGUUAAUGGGCUGCCCUGCUAUCGGAUUUCCUGAUACCAGCUUAGGCAGUGGCUUCGGUCGCGCAGGUUCGAAUCCUGUCCUUGACG
rfam:Colletotrichum chlorophyti strain NTL11 CCHL11_scaffold77, whole genome shotgun sequence.